UGGACUGAAUGGUUUAACAGAGAUGAUCCCACUGGAUCAGGAGACUGGGAGACACUAGACAAUCUAUACCUUGAAAACCCUGGGAAGAUCUGCAACAGGCCUCUUCGUAUUCAGGUCAGGACCACAUCUGGGCAGAGUGCAUCUUCAACCGGGGACAUCAUUGCAGUGUCAGACACAAGCAAGGGAUUUGUUUGUAAAAACUUUGACCAACCAUCAGGUUCAGAGUGCAAAAAUUAUGAAGUCCGUUUCCUCUGUCCUCAAGAGUUUUGUCAUCCCAAAGUGUGCUGGACCAAGUGGUUUGACCGAGACAGUCCCAGUGGCAUUGGAGACUACGAACUCCUGAGUAACUUGAGAGAUGAAAAUCCUGGACAAAUCUGUGAACAACCACUUUUCAUAGAAGCUCGGAACAAGCUCAAUAAUUUGCCUGCUGACUUCACGGGACAGUCAAUCCACAUAUACAGCCCCACUGAAGGUUUUGUUUGCCGCAAUUGUGACCAGAGAGAACGUCGCUGCCAGAACUUUGAGGUCCGCUUUGGCUGUCCAUGUGAUGUUUAAACACUUACUUACCUGUCAUUUUUGCAUUAAAUUAUGAUGAUCAAAUCCAGGCCACUGGCUUCAAGAUAUUUACCUUGGGACAACAGAUGGAAAUUAGCAUUUGGCUAUAAUCCGGUGUGUUGACAUUCAUGUUUAGAUUUAGGUUUAUGUUGGAUCAUGUCUGUCCAUUAACAUGCACUGUUCUAAUCACAUAAAUAAAUUAUUUGUAUAUUUAUAUUGAGUCA